rnacentral:rRNA from 1 species
CCUACGGGAGGCAGCAGUGGGGAAUAUUGGGCAAUGGAGGCAACUCUGACCCAGCAACGCCGCGUGAAUGAUGAAGGUCUUCGGAUUGUAAAGUUCUGUGAUGGGGGAUGAACACAAUGACGGUACCUGACCAAGAAGCCCCGGCUAACUACGUGCCAGCAGCCGCGGUAAUACGUAGGGGGCAAGCGUUAUCCGGAAUUACUGGGUGUAAAGGGAGCGUAGACGGUUAAGUAAGUCUGGAGUGAAAGGCCGGGGCGCAACCCCGGGACUGCUCUGGAAACUAUUGAACUAGAGUGCAGGAGAGGUGAGCGGAAUUCCUGGUGUAGCGGUGAAAUGCGUAGAGAUUAGGAGGAACACCGGUGGCGAAGGCGGCUUACUGGACUGUAACUGACGUUGAGGCUCGAAAGCGUGGGGAGCAAACAGGAUUAGAUACCCGGGUAGUC